CCUACGGGUGGCAGCAGUGGGGAAUAUUGGGCAAUGGGCGCAAGCCUGACCCAGCAACGCCGCGUGAAGGAAGAAGGCCCUCGGGUUGUAAACUUCUUUUAUUCGGGACGAAACAAAUGAGGUACCGAAUGAAUAAGCCACGGCUAACUAGGUGCCAGCAGCCGCGGUAAUACGGAGGUGGCAAGCGUUAUCCGGAUGUACUGGGUGUAAAGGGCGUGUAGGCGGGAGAGCAAGUCAGGCGUGAAAUUCCAGGGCUAAACCCUGGAACUGCGUUGGAAACUGUUCUUCUUGAGUGAUGGAGAGGCAGGCGGAAUUCCGUGUGGAGCGGUGAAAGGCGUAGAUAUACGGAGGAACGCCAGUGGCGAAGGCGGCCUGCUGGACAUUAACUGACGCUGCGGCGCGAAAGCUUGGGGAGCAAACAGGAUGAGAUACCCGAGUAGUC
rnacentral:rRNA from 1 species